GUGCUUCAGUAGCACAUAUGAUAAAAUACAGAGGAGAUUAGUAUAACCCCUGUGUAAGAAUGACACUCAGAUUCAUGAAGUGUUAUAUAUAUUA
ensembl:snRNA LOC120096100 U6 spliceosomal RNA